UACAGAGGGGCAAGCGUUAUUCGGAAUUAUUGGGCGUAAAGGGCGCGUAGGCGGCCAUUCAAGUGACGGGUGAAAGGCCCUCGGCUUAACCGAGGAACUGCCUGUCAGACUGGAUGGCUUGAGACCGGGAGAGGUGAGUGGAAUUCCCAGUGUAGCGGUGAAAUGCGUAGAGUAUUCGCAAGGAACACCGGUGGCGAAGGCGGCGUCCUGGACCAACACAUGACACUGGAGUGAGCGAAAGCCAGGGGAGCAA
rnacentral:rRNA from 1 species